GACGAACGCUGGCGGCGUGCUUAACACAUGCAAGUCGAACGGAAGGGCCCUGCUUUUGUGGGGUGCUCGAUUGGCGAGCGGGUGAGUAACACGUGAGUAACCUGCCCUUGACUUUGUGAUAACUUCAGGAAACUGGGGCUAAUACCGGAUAGGAUCUCCUGCUGCAUGGGGGGGGUUGGAGAGUUUCGGCGGUUGGGGAUGGACUCGCGGCUUAUCAGCUUGUUGGUGGGGUAGUGGCUUACCAAGGCUUUGACGGGUAGGCGGCCUGAGAGGGUGACCGGCCACAUUGGGACUGCGAUACGGACCAGAAUGCUACGGGAGGCAGUAGUGGGGAAUCUUGCACAACGGGCGGAAGUCUGAUGCAGCAACGCUGCGUGCGGGAUGCCCGCUUUCGGGUUGUAAACAGAUUUCGACUGUGACGAAGAGUGAGUGACGGUAACGGGUAAAGAAGCAACGGCUAACUACGUG
rnacentral:rRNA from 1 species